rnacentral:rRNA from 1 species
CUGCUGGGAUUUUGGAAAUGGGGGCAACCCUGACCCAGCCAUGCCGCGUGAGCGAAGAAGGCCUUCGGGUUGUAAAGCUCUUUCGGACGGAAAGAAACGGCGUGGGCUAAUAUCCCGCGCUAAUGACGGUACCGUAAGAAGAAGCACCGGCCAACUACGUGCCAGCAGCCGCGGUAAUACGUAGGGUGCAAGCGUUAAUCGGAAUUACUGGGCGUAAAGCGUGCGCAGGCGGCGGCUUGUGUCAGGUGUGAAAGCCCCGGGCUUAACCUGGGAAUUGCGCUUGAAACUAGGUCGCUAGAGUUCAUUAGAGGGGGGUGGAAUUCCAGGUGUAGCAGUGAAAUGCGUAGAGAUCUGGAGGAACACCGAUGGCGAAGGCAGCCCCCUGGGGUGAAACUGACGCUCAGGCACGAAAGCGUGGGGAGCAAACAGGAUUAGAUACCCUGGUAGUCCACGCCCUAAACGAUGUCAACUAGUUGUUGGGGGAAUUUAAUCUCCCAGUAACGAAGCUAACGCGUGAAGUUGACCGCCUGGGG